rnacentral:misc_RNA from 1 species
CCCAUCUCUUAACAGACUACAGAGGUAAUUGAGUAUCAUAUUCAAAAGCUUGGAGGCUCUUGGUAUUCCUUAGGAGUCUCAGGUGGUCUGCUGUAAACAUCAUCAAAAUGAAGAUUUAUAUUUUCUCCUGCUUCAAGGUCAUCAUCCAUGAAUGUUGUUCGUGACAACCUGUGAGAACUCCUCCAAUUCAAGUGCUGUUCUUGUUCCUCUAAGCUCCGCUCUGAAAAAUUAUCAUAGAAAUUAUCUGAAGUGAAGCGGUUAAAAUCGGGAGGCUCAAGAAAACUUGUCUGGGGCUGUGCACCAGGUUGGCCACUUCUGGCCCACCAAUGGCUCCUAUUGGAAUGUGCAAAAUUGCUGACAUCAUGUUGUUGAAGUACACUCUCCCGGAAGAAAGGAGUAGAUGUGGAAGCCCCCAAGUGAGAUUCUGUUCGAUCUUCAUAAUGGUGAUGCCAAUGCUCAUCAUCAUAUAUAGCCUUAUUUUGUGUAAAGUUGGGUGGCACCCAAUAAUCUUCAGUAUGUUGGUCAGUCGCUUCAAAGGGUGCUACUGGACUGUCUCUUGUAUAAUUAGUUGAAGUAUGAGGCUGCGAGGUAUAGUACCAAUCAAGAAGAUAUGGGUGAUUCUUUUGAUCUUCAUCAAUUAGCCACAGAGAGCCUAAAUGAAAGCCAGGAGUAGAAUGAGGCAUUUCCCUAUAAAAGGGGGUAUUUCUAUUUCCAGGGCCCCUCAAAUUGGGGCUUCCUCGCCAUGUUUUAGGAUGAGAAUACACACGUCUAACUCCGUGUCCUUGCAACUUUUGCUCCCUGAAAUUUCUAAGAUUUGACAGGAACUGCUUUCCCUGGGCAUUUGGUUCCCAAGAAGGAUAGCUGCUCUGAAAACUCAAAAAUGAUUUCUCCAUCUUGCCCUGAGAGCUCCUCUGGCUGUGUGUUGUAUGAUAAGGUGAACCAUAAUUGCUAU